GUUUCAAAAUUCGAUGGUAUUGCUUUGCAUUCACGUAAAGCCCCUCGACCGGCUCAUAUGGAUUCAUUGGAAAAUGACUAUUCUUAUUUCAAUUGCUCUAACUAUUGGGAGGAUCUCAGGAAUCAAAAUUCUGCUCGUUACGGUAUAUUCGUCUCGUUGGUCGGUUGGUUGGUUUAGGUGGUUUGUAACUCCGCAGGCGCUAGCGACUACCAAUGGUAAGCAGCUAUUCUUUACAUAUCGGUAAAUGUGUAUAACGAUUAUUGUCGAUCUUUCCAGGAUUGCAAAUAGUGAGGACGGCUUGCAGUGCAUUUUGUCACAAACGAAUAUAUAAUCUUAUGUACACAUAUGAUAAUGUCACUAACUGAAUGGCAUAACUAUUUUCUUAUGAAUUGGGUUAAAAAAAAGCUAACAGUCGAAAUAUAAUACAACAGAGGUUGCAUUGUAGCGUAUGGCACUGGAACACGUUAUACCAAAUAUCU